rnacentral:rRNA from 1 species
CCUACGGGCGGCAGCAGUGAGGAAUAUUGGUCAAUGGGCGCUAGCCUGAACCAGCCAAGUCGCGUGAAGGAUGACUGCCCUCUGGGUUGUAAACUUCUUUUAUAUGGGAAUAAAGUGCAGUAUGUAUACUGCUUUGCAUGUACCUUAUGAAUAAGGAUCGGCUAACUCCGUGCAAGCAGCAGCGGUAAUACGGAGGAUCCGAGCGUUAUCCGGAUUUAUUGGGGUAAAAGGGAGGGUAGGCGGGUUGUUAAGUCCGUUGUGAAAGUUUGCGGCUCAACCGUAGAAUUGCAGUUGAUACUGGCAUCCUUGAGUACAGUAGAGGUAGGCGGAAUUCGUGGUGUAGCGGUGAAAUGCUUGGAAAUCGCGGAGAACUCCGAUUGCGAAGGCAGCCGGCUGGACUGUAACUGACGCUGAUGCUCGAAAGUGUGGGUAUCAAACAGGAUUAGAUACCCUUUAGUC